rnacentral:rRNA from 1 species
UACAGGGGGCUCGAGCGUUAGUCGGAAUCACUGGGCUUAAAGGGUGCGUAGGCGGCCCGCCAAGUGCUUUGUGAAAUCCCCGGGCUCAACCCGGGAACAGCAGGGCAAACUGGCGGGCUUGAAGCAGGUAGGGGCUGGAAGAACAGUUGGUGGAGCGGUGAAAUGCGUAGAUAUCAACUGGAAUGCCGAUGGGGAAGCCGUCCAGCUGGGCCUGUCUUGACGCUGAGGCACGAAAGCGUGGGGAGCAAACAGGAUUAGAUACCCUGGUAGUCCACGCCGUAAACGAUGUACACUAGACUGGUGCGGUUUUGACGCCGUAUCAGUCGCAGUAAAAACGAUAAGUGUACCGCCUGGGGAGUACGGUCGCAAGGCUAAA